GUAGGUAGCAAGCGUUGUCCGGAAUGACUGGGCGUAAAGGGUGCGUAGGUGGCUGAGCAAGUUGGUAGUGAAAUUCCGAGGCUUAACUUCGGCGCUACUACCAAGACUGCCCGGCUUGAGUACAGGAGAGGUAAGUGGAAUUCCUAGUGUAGCGGUGGAAUGCGUAGAUAUUAGGAGGAACACCGGUGGCGAAAGCGACUUACUGGCCUGCAACUGACACUGAGGCACGAAAGCGUGGGGAGCAAACAGGAUUAGAUACCCUGGUAGUCCACGCCGUAAACGAUGAUUACUAGGUAUGGGAGGUAUCGACUCCUUCCGUGCCGCAGCCAACGCAAUAAGUAAUCCGCCUGGGGAGU
rnacentral:rRNA from 1 species